rnacentral:lncRNA from 1 species
GGAAGAGAAAACUUUUCUGUUUGGUGAUGAAUCCUUUGUCCACAAUCGUGGUGUCUUUGUGCACAAAUAGAACAAGGAAAUAUAUGCAUGAAAAUGUCCACAAAUUAAGCUAUUUGUGCCACUGAGCCUUGUCUUCCCUGACUCUGACCUGCCUGGCCUAUUAUGGCUCAGAGGGGCCAUCUAACUCAGUAAAUUACAUUUGGAACCAUUGUCUCCUCACCUCACCCUCUUACAGCGCAAGGACUUGCCCAGAACCCUACUGACUCAGACUGGGCAUCAAACUUGAGGACCAGCAGGGGAAUUAUCUAGAAAACACUGAUGAGGAUCAGAUGGUGCCACUGGUGCAUUCCAACCAACAUUUGAAGAAGAAUUAACAGCAAUGCAUCUUCAUUCCAUCAUUCAUCCUGUGAAACCAGCCUUAACCUGAAUCGGAGUCCUGAAAAAGAUAUCUCGGGAAAGUCAAGCUACCGGCCAGUCUCUGUUGGGAAUAUAGACUUGAAGGUUCCCAGCAUAGUUCUAAUGGAUAAAAUUCAGCAGCACAUUAAAAGGGUUAUACACCAUGACCAAGUGGGUUUAUCCCCAAAGGCAAAGUUGGUUCUAUAUACACAAGUGGGAACUCAAAUGCUACUGUACACGAUGCUCACAACAGCGUUAAUAAGAAUAGCCCGAAGUUAGAAGCAGUCUGCUCACCAGCGGGUAAGGCGAUUUGAAGAUUGGUGCAUCAAUACAAGGGAAGAGCCAUCAGUCACAAGAAGGAAUGAAAUUCUGAAACAUGCUAUGACACUGUAGACAGCACCGUGCUGAGUGAAACAAACUGGACACCGAAGGACAGAUGCGGUAAGAUGGUCCUGUCCUUGUUAAAUUUUGUCACUUGAUGAAAGCUAGAGUCAUCUGGGAAGAUGGAACCUCAGUUGAGGAAAUGCCCCAAUUAGAUCAGCCUCUAGGCAAGUUUGAGGGGCACUUUCUUGGUUAAUGAUUGAUUUGGGAGGGCCCAGCCCACUACGGGCAGUGCCACCCUUAGGCACAUUGUUAUGGGCUGUAAAAAAAAAAGUCAAGCUGAGCAGGUCACAGAGAGCUCCCUUCAGUUCCUGCCUCCAGAUUCCCA